ACAGAGGGUGCAAGCGUUGUCCGGAAUUACUGGGCGUAAAGGGCGCGUAGGCGGCCCGAUAAGUAGGAGGUGAAAUUCUGCGGCUCAACCGCAGGACUGCCUUCUAAACUGUCAGGCUUGAGCACGGUAGAGGCUGGCGGAAUUCCCGGUGUAGCGGUGGAAUGCGUAGAGAUCGGGAAGAACAUCCGUGGCGAAGGCGGCCAGCUGGGCCGUUGCUGACGCUGAGGCGCGACAGCGUGGGGAGCAAACAGGAUUAGAUACCCUGGUAGUCCACGCCGUAAACGAUGGACACUAGGCGUCGGGGGGAGCGACCCCUUCGGUGCCGUCGUUAACACAGUAAGUGUCCCGCCUGGGGAGUACGGCCGCAAGGCUG
rnacentral:rRNA from 1 species